UCAAGCCUACCGAUUAAUCAGGAAGUGCGAGAUCGAUGUACAAAAUUGUCACCGGAACAAUGUAUAUUGAAUUGCCGAAACACAAUGUAAUAUCAUUAGGCGGAUUGAAGUACGGAAUGGUGUUUCUUCUAAUUUUGGAAAAUGUACAUAUAGUGUCUCAUGUCAACUCUACCGAUUCAUCAAGAAGUUCGAGAAAAUGUACAAAAUUAUAGUGUCUUAGAUCAACUCUACCGAUUCUUCAAGAAGUGCGAGAAUGAUGUACAAUCAUUGUCACUGGAACACAAUGUAUAUUAAAUUGCCGGAAAACAAUGUAAUAUCAUUGGCCGGAUUUAUGUGGUCUUCUGCAAG